rnacentral:lncRNA from 1 species
AUUUGGAAUAUGGGACACUUUGCCUUUCUGUUGUAUGCAUUUCUGAAUAACAUUUUCCAAAUUGUAUUUUAUUUAUUUUUCUUAAUGUAAUUUGAAGUUAAUGUUUAAUGAAAGUUCUUAAGACAUGGUUUAUUUUAAUUGUAAAUAGUACAUAAAACUGUAUUCUAUAAAUAAUCAGGAAAGCUACCUGUAACAACAAAGAGAGUUAUCUUUUUUGAAAAAAACUAGAAACGCAAAAUGCACCACAUGUACACUGAGUGACAGUAAUACUGUGUGGUACUGGCAUGUUUUAGCUUAGGUAGGUCCCAUGAAUCUAAAUUCCUAUGGAAAAGUGAACCAAAAUCUGUAUUUCCUGUGCAUUACUGAUGAUGAUACCUGACAUAUGAAAAAGCACUUCAAAUUCUGUUGUUUUAAUUUCCUUUUUUGGAGGGAGUACUUACUGCGGGUUGAACCCUAGAAACCUUUACCACUGAGCUACAUCCCCAUCCCUUUUUAUUAUUUGAGACAGGUCUUCCUUAAUCCCUGAGGCUGAUCUUAAACGCUCGUGAUCUUCCUUCCUAACCCUCCUGAAUUGCCUACCACUUGAUUUUUUUCAGUAGUCCCUAACAUGUAUUAUAGAUGGCAGAAAUCAAAGAGUGAAGAUGUGUUAUUUGUCAGGGUUACAUAGCCAGUUAGCAAGCUGAGGUUUAAUAUUAGUUUUCUUCGUGUUCUUCCUAGUGCAUCAUUCUACUACCUUUCUUAUAAAGAACUUGAAUUAUUUUCCCAAAAGACUGGUACAUGAUAAGCUGCUAAAUUAACCAAGAUAAAAAUUUUAAAAAAUAUUUGGCUUGCAGAAUAUUUGCUGCAUUUUUCCCACUUUUUAUUGGUACAUUAUAGUUGUACAUACUAAUGGAACUUGCUUUUAUAUAUUCAUACAUGCACACGAUACAACAAUAUGC